rnacentral:lncRNA from 1 species
UUUCUUUUCAACUCAAGACAUUGACCAAGUGCCUAUCAUGACUCAGGUACAAAGCACUGGGAAUACAACCUUGAACAAGACAAGAAUCCUGGCCUUCAAGGAACUUCGAACCUUUUGGGGGAUAUGAUAAGACACAUUAGGAAUCACCAUGUUAAUGGUUAUCUUUCUUGAAGGAUAUAAGUCCAGGUGCUUGGGGAGACCCACACAUAUACUCACAGAAAUGAGUUAUUUAAAGAAGACGGUCCAGAUUCCACAGUCCAAAAAAAAAAGAGGUUUGCCCUGCUUCUGAAGGAGUCAGGGUAUGAAUGCAGAGGUCUUCCUGUUGGCUCACAUAUCAGAUCUUCAACGUCAACAUUAAAUGCGAGUGAUGCUUCCCCCUCUGUGAAUGUGGCUUUGGGUAUGGCUAAUCCACACCCUGCACUCUGGCCUUCAGAAGCCCAGGGAGAGAAGCCUCCCAGAAGCAACCUUCCAGAACCUUCUCCAUCCUCCCACCGACCUCCCCAGCCCCUGUCCUCUCUUUGAAUCUCGUUGUCAAGUUCUUCCCGCAGACACCUGGCUCCUUGAGGGGAGGUGCAGCUUUCAUCUGACCAUGCAGGCGUGCUUUGCAGUGGGUAGAGCAGUGCUUUCCUCCUCCCAGCUGCACACUGGAAUCACCUGGAGAGUCCAGAAACUUCCCGCCUCAGUGAAAGAACAUCAGUGUAUCAGCACAGCAAAUAUUCCAAAUGCCAGGCUGGAUUCCCUCCAAUUACCAGGACCUCCAGGCUUCUCCUCCUUUCAAGAACUUUCUGACCCUGGAUCCAGUCUAAAUGUUGGUUAUAAACUCACCUGACAUCCACAGGGCCCUUCCAAAAUACUGUCAAGGCUGACUGCUGGUGCCUGGAACCUGCACACCCUCCUGGGACUCUGCAUCUCUGCUGGGGCUGGUUUCUCCUCUGAGCCACCUUAAGGAAUCCCACCCUGACCCGGUCAGAGCUCACCAUGCCUCCCUCUCCUACUUGCUCAGCAUUUUGUGUCUAUCUAGACUGAAGCCUUUGCUUUCUCUCUGUGAUUAUGGUGAAAGUUCAGUUUGCUUUCCUAUCUCUAGAAUGUCAGCACGAAGGCAGAGGCAUGGUCUCCUGAGUUCCAUAACCCCAAAGCCUAACUCCCUGCCUGCCACACUGAGGGGCUUAGUAGACAUUGACUUACUAAAUUGAAUAGUUGAGUAAUAAUGCUCUUUGAAAUAAUUUGGAGUUAGAUCUUGAGCCUUGUGUGGCCAGAGGAUGGGUGAGGACACAUCAUAAAAACUAAAGGUAACUGAGCAUGCCAGUGGUUGGGGUGAGAAAUUUGCAUGGAGCACUCCAGACACAGAGGCAGCAAAACCCAAGUGCUGGGAAGUCAGAGUGAGAGAGUGAAGGGGCAGUGAGUGCUUCUUUAGGAGCUGGAUCAAAACCUAAGAUGAUCUGGCCACAUGGUGCAGACUGAGCACACACUUGGGAGAGAAAUGGGCCAGGAGGAGAGGAGAGAGGUUCACCACAGGACAGUGGAUGACUGGGAAUAGAAGCCCUCCCCAUGGUGGACCAAGAAGUCUGUGAAGCUGAGAGAAAGACAAAAGAAAUCACGACUUCUGUAGGUAGCUGGGAUGGAAACCUCAGGGGUGACAGGGUCUUUAAAGGAAAUCUCAAGGAAGGCAUCAUGUUCUGGGUGUGCUCCAGGGAUGCUGAGUAAGAAAAGACCAGCCUUUCUGUGUGUGUCUUUACUCUGCCACAAGGCACCUGGGCUCCUAAAUGACCAAUACACAUGUGCUAUACUGGUGCCAAGAAAGAAGGGUGUUUUGUAGGAAAGUCAAGGUGAGAGGAGGUGCCCAGGACUUGGCUCCUUUCUUUGAAGGGUGACGGUGUAAAUUCUCCAUGCUGGGGAUCCUACUGAUGGAUGGAGGCAUGUCGAUCUCAUCAUUUCACAGAGUGGGGAGCUAUGGCCACAACGUGCCUAUCACACAAGUCCAGCCUCACGUCAGCUGGACACCAGCUGUUCUGACACUUGUCAGCACAUGGGGCACCCGGAAGUUCAUGGUGUUCUGCAAAGAACGCCACAAAACAGUGAGCUCAACUUCUUGAAAGUCAUAAUGUGUUGCUAAGUCCGAUCCCAGAUCCUAAAAAUAAUAUGAGGUAGUGGCCAUUGAACAGAAAAAAUUUACAUCUUAAACUUGAAGAUAAGUACAAGUGUACCUUUUUCUACCACUGUUGUUCAGUUUUAUUAUAUUGACAAGCACCUCUGCCCACCCUGUGGGGUAAAACUGUUUGAAAGUGUUUAUGAAAGUUUUAUAUAAAUAUUGGUUGAUCAAAUGUACAAAAUAUGCAUGAUGGCACCAUAUUGUGUAUAAUAGUGACAAAUACAGUCUAUGUGGGUGGAGAAACA